AACGAACGCUGGCGGCAUGCCUAACACAUGCAAGUCGAACGAGACCUUCGGGUCUAGUGGCGCACGGGUGCGUAACGCGUGGGAAUCUACCCUUGGGUUCGGAAUAACAGUUAGAAAUGACUGCUAAUACCGGAUGAUGACGUAAGUCCAAAGAUUUAUCGCCCAAGGAUGAGCCCGCGUAAGAUUAGCUUGUUGGUGGGGUAAUGGCCUACCAAGGCGACGAUCUUUAGCUGGUCUGAGAGGAUGAUCAGCCACACUGGGACUGAGACACGGCCCAGACUCCUACGGGAGGCAGCAGUGGGGAAUAUUGGACAAUGGGCGAAAGCCUGAUACAGCAAUGCCGCGUGAGUGAUGAAGGCCUUAGGGUUGUAAAGCUCCUUUACCAGGGAUGAUAAUGACAGUACCUGGAGAAUAAGCUCCGGCUAACUCCGUGCCAGCCGCCGCAGUAA
rnacentral:rRNA from 1 species